GACGAACGCUGGCGGCGUGCCUAACACAUGCAAGUCGAACGGACUAAUGUUUGACACUGAAUGCUUUCAAAUUAAGGAAAGAAAACAGGCCGCAUGACGCGAACGAAGAGAGCGUCGAAGCGACCCAAAAAAGUGCCAACACAGAAAAACAGAGGAGAACAUUCAGUGUUGAACAUUAGUUAGUGGCGGACGGGUGAGUAACGCGUGGGUAAUCUACCUAAGAGUGGGGAAUAACAGUUGGAAACGACUGCUAAUACCGCAUAAACUGCGUAAGCAGCAAAGAUGGCCUCUGAAUAUGCUGUCGCUUUUAGAUGAGCCCGCGUCUGAUUAGCUAGUUGGUGGGGUAAAGGCCUACCAAGGCGACGAUCAGUAGCCGGCCUGAGAGGGUGAACGGCCACACUGGGACUGAGACACGGCCCAGACUCCUACGGGAGGCAGCAGUGGGGAAUAUUGCGCAAUGGGGGAAACCCUGACGCAGCGACGCCGCGUGAGCG
rnacentral:rRNA from 1 species